rnacentral:lncRNA from 1 species
CCUAAAUCAUAAUGAAGAGCUAACUAUAUAUAGGGACAUCCCUUAUAGUAAAGAUGUAGUUGAAGUAGAAUGUAAGAAACAAAGUGCAAAGUGGAGUAGAGGAGGAAAAACUGCACAAGAGCCGAAACAAACUGGUUUUGUUGCGGCACCAUAGGACGUCGCAACGUUGGUGCUACGAUCCCCACUUUUAGGUCCUUUACUCCAAAAUCUUGAUUUUCUUCAUCCCAAUAUCCUCUUCAAGUCUAAUGCAAAUUCCUAUGCCCAAUGGACUCUCAACUUCAAUUAAAAUUCGCCUAGUAAAUUUGAAUAGGAUUUCAUAAUAGUAUUCCAAAUAGCAUUUUUCCUAAUGUGUACUUUAGUUAGAACUCUCAGUUAUCUUUAACAAAGAAUUCGGAUCACACCCAAAUUCUAAUAAUUGUCAUCUAUGGUAAAGCUGUGAUUGACUUACUAGUUUGUUCCUCCGGGGGUAUUUACUCAUUGGUAACAGAUAAAUUUUGCAAUACUGCCCAACAUAUUGGUAUUCUCCAGAGUAUCUUGUAAUGGUUUCUUUUGCUUUCUGAGAUUCUACCCGUUCCUUCCCUUUUCUUUUCUCCCGAACAUCGAAAGGAUUCUCUGAAUUGUUAUAUGGAACAUUUUAAGUGAUUAUGGACUUAGGAGGAAAUUAUUACCUGUCAACAUAUUCUUUUAACAGCUCUUUUGCUUGAACAAAUCAAGAUCACGAUCAAUUCUUCUCUUAUCUACAUGCAUGUAGUGAAACACAAAGCAGUCACACGAACAAAGAAAUAAGCCAGUGAGAACAUGUAUUCAGCAGUAACAAAAUACUUAUAAUCCAU